GGAGGGCAAUCUGUAAAAUUUUUAACCCCAUCAGCAUUGCCAGGGUGGACUGAGCUGCUCAGGCUGGUGAGACAAGUGUCGCCUUUGCCCAUCACCAUUCCACAUGUGUUUCCCAUGAAGUUGAGUGCUCUAUCAAAGAUGAGAACAUUCUUGAAUGCGGAGCACUGCUUUUCCCCACAAACAAGGACCAUUGUUUGGUCAAGGAUAUAGGAGCAAACCAUUUCUUGUUGGAAACUCCAAACAUAUAGCUAGAUGUGGUGGUGCAUGCCUUUAAUCCCAGCACUGGGAGACUGAGGGAGAUUACCACGAGUGUGAGGUCAGCCUGGGGCUACAGAGUGAGUUCCA
rnacentral:sRNA from 1 species